UGGGGAAUAUUGCACAAUGGGCGCAAGCCUGAUGCAGCCAUGCCGCGUGUGUGAAGAAGGCCUUCGGGUUGUAAAGCACUUUCAGCGGGGAGGAAGGCGUUAAGGUUAAUAACCUUGGCGAUUGACGUUACCCGCAGAAGAAGCACCGGCUAACUCCGUGCCAGCAGCCGCGGUAAUACGGAGGGUGCAAGCGUUAAUCGGAAUUACUGGGCGUAAAGCGAGCGCAGGCGGUUUCUUAAGUCUGAUGUGAAAGCCCCCGGCUCAACCGGGGAGGGUCAUUGGAAACUGGGAGACUUGAGUGCAGAAGAGGAGAGUGGAAUUCCAUGUGUAGCGGUGAAAUGCGUAGAUAUAUGGAGGAACACCAGUGGCGAAGGCGGCUCUCUGGUCUGUAACUGACGCUGAGGCUCGAAAGCGUGGGGAGCAAACAGG
rnacentral:rRNA from 1 species